CUAUUGUUACAAUGUAAACUAACUUUGUGGCCUACUGGUUAGCGAGUCAGACUUGUUUGUAACCCAGAGAUUAUUUGUUCAAUUCAAUCCCACAGCUAGCAAGUUAUUGAAGUGUUGGGGUGCUGCAGUGAUAGUUGCCCUGUGUGUGGGGUGUGCAUAUGUGUGUGUGUGUGUGUGCGGUUUUUGUGUGUUCAUGACUUGCAGUGGAUGGGUUAAAUGCAGAGAAAUUCAUGUCUUUUUUACUUUUUAUUUAAUUUUGCCCGAUAUCAGUUGCAAUUAAAUAGUGACAUGUUUCCAAUAGCAAAAGCUAGCAUAUUAGCUCUCUGAGCACCCUGCUGAAAAAAAACAGCAUCAAACCAACAUGGACCGGUUUUGGUGCCGGUUUAGCUGGUGGUCACCAGCAUACCAGCACCAAAACACAACAUAUGCUGGUCAUGCUGGUAUGGCCAGCAUGGGAUGCUGGUGCUAAUGCUGGUUUGGUGCUGGUUUAGCUGGUGCUAAUGCUGGUUUAGCUGGUGUUCACCAGCAAACCAGCACCAAAACACAACAUAUGCUGGUCUUGCUGGUAUGCUGUUUUUUAGCAUGACAACAUCUGGUACUUGCAUAUGGUGGGCUUUAUGGGGUAGUACAGUGAGUGUGAAGUGAUCUCAUAUUGUGACCUUCAUAUGAGCACACAUUGAGUGUGCAGCGUGCUUACACAUUAAGGUCACUAUGACCCACACAGUGUGUAUCUUGUGAGCUCAUGGUGACUUUCCUUACGAAAAUUAACCAUGGUUUUACUACAGUUAAAACCAAAAAAGCAUGGUUACUGUAGUAAAACCAUGGUAACCACAAAAUAACCAUGGUUUUAACAACCAUGUUUUUCUAAAACCACAGUUAAACCAUGGUUAGUGUAGCCGUUUAGUGUAGUAAAACCAUGGUUUUGCUGAUAGUAAUCAAUACACCAAAAAACUAUGGUUACUACACUUUUACCACAAUAAAACCAUGGCUAAUUUUCUUAAGGGUUCACUGAGAGAUCACAUUGUUGCCUAGUGAAUGAAGCCCCAAGUCAAAGACCCGAGGUGACAUUGAAGGGUUAACCUGAAGUAGUAAAACCAAAAGAAAGUCAGCAUCUCUUUAGUGUUCUCACUAAUAUAAGUUAGUUGAAAUUACUAGUUUGUCUUCCACCCAGUGCAAGGGUUUUACAUGAACCCCCAAACCCCACCCAGAAAAACAUAGCACAACUUAUUAAAGUUUAUUUAAUUUAUUUUAAUGUUUGAUUCUUUUGUGAAAUACAGUGGUAUUAAGUGCAAGAAUCUACGCGGUAUUUUUUUUUUUUUUUUUUUUUGCGCCACUGGGUCAAUACAACGUAGGACGCAUGUGUCUGAGAGCCGCGGUGGCGGUAUGCACCAGUAGGUGUAACCCGCCAUAAAAUUGAAAGAAGAAGAAGGAGGAAGAGCAGCUUGUGCGCAUGUGCAUGCAUCCAGAGGUUACCACGCGAGACUGAGUAAAUACAGGUGGAUAUUAAUCAGUUCGAUGACUCAAAUACUUCUUGCCAUCAACGGACAACUCGAAACGAAACGAAACAUACUACAGUACGUGAUCUGGAGCUUGACUUCACCUGUUUUGUGGUGAUUAACAAAUUGUGCGGUGCCCAAAGAUAGGAAUACCAGUAAAUUUUGACCUCGUGGGGACAUUUGUGAGGUCCCCAUGAGGAACCAAGCUUAUAAAUCAAACGGAAUGAUGUUUCUUGAAAAUCUAAGGUCGCAGAAAGUUUUCUGUGAUGGUUGGGGUAAGGGUUUGGGGAAGGGAAUAGAAUAUACAGUUUGUACAGUAUAAAAUGCAUUACGUCUAUGGAAUGUCCCCACAAAAGAUGGAAACCAGAAUGUGUGUGUGUGCGUGCCAUGGAACAAAUAUUUAUUUUUAUAGCUUUUUGUGUGUUCUGUUUUUGACUUUCCCCCUGAUAUCAAGACACCAAAAUAAUCUUUUAAUACGCAUUUUCAUGUGUUUGUAAAGAAAAUAAAGUGUACUUCACUGUU